GAUCCUGGCUCAGGAUGAACGCUGGCGGCGUGCCUAACACAUGCAAGUCGAGCGAGAAACCUUUCAAUGAAGCUUCGGUUAGAUUUGAGAGGCGGAAAGCGGCGGACGGGUGAGUAACGCGUAGGCAACCUGCCCCUUGCAGAGGGAUAGCCUCGGGAAACCGGGAUUAAAACCUCAUAAAGCCUUUGGAGCACAUGCUUUGAAGGUCAAAGAUUUAUCGGCAAGGGAUGGGCCUGCGUCUGAUUAG
rnacentral:rRNA from 1 species